GCUGCCACGGGAGGGGAGAAGCCCUUCACUCAAUAGUAGUGAUACAUGCACAGGUCUUCUGCGGUGGAACGUGCAGGACACGCAGGCAGCGCGCCUCCCGCAGCCGAGUGCACGGGCAGCCGCUGCAGGCCCCGGGGAGUGAUGUCAGCCGGGGAGGACUUGCUGGCAGCACUGGGAAGCGGAGUUCAGACGGCGGCAGCAGAGCUGAGCCAUCCGAUGCUUUAGCACCCGGAGCUCUCCGGAUGCUGCUUCUCUCCAACACCCACAGCCUCUGCGCCUGCAGGGGCGAUCCGGACCGGACAGCUCCUGUGCAGAAUUUCCAGUCUAUACCAAAGAGGAGGCAGACAAGGAUCUUCUAUCAUCUUUCUCUCAAAUAGACCUAACAUUCCUCUUCUGUUUUGUUCUUAAAGAGAGAGAUUUGCUGGACUGCUCUUGCAAACGGGGAUUUAGUUAAAAGUCUGACAGCACAACUUAGCUUUACCGGCAUCAGCGUGGCGGACUGAUAUUAAUGUGGUUCUUUUAAUGUGGAAUUACAUUUGCCUUUUACAGCUGUAAAAACAUAAAACCAAUCCCAAACCAAGACUUAGCUAAAAGUUAGGCUACCUUUUUCUUCCACAAUUGUGUUCCCUCUGUGGAAAUCGUUCAUGCAGCUUUUGCUCUAGCCUGCAUGGAAAAAAGCAUCUUGUAUUUUGGAUCAAGGAUUUGCUGGUGUAAACUGGUCUAACUUCUAUGCGAUGGGGCAGCCUUCCUUACUCUAGACGCCUUGUUGAUGUGCUGAGGAGCCAAUGUAGAUUGACAUCUUUUGCAGAGAAGGCAAGGAAUUAAAGCUACUCUUGGUGUUCUUCAGGAGAACUCAUUAGCCAUUCUGGAGAUGGACUUGCUGUCUGGAACCUACCUCUUGGCAGUCUUAUUAGCCUGCAUUGUAUUUCAGUCCGGUGCCCAAGAGAAGAAUUAUACUGUGAGGGAAGAACUGCCGGAAAAUGUCCUGAUUGGCAAUUUGCUUAAGGAUCUGAACUUGACACUGGACCCGGAUGUGUCCCUUUCAUCACCUCUUCAGUUCAAGCUUGUGUAUAAGACUGGGGAUGUGCCAUUAGUCCGGGUGGAGGAAAACACUGGUGAGAUAUUCACUACUGCCAACCGCAUAGACCGGGAGAAGUUGUGCUCUGGCAUUUUUAGUGAGAACCGCUGCUUUUAUGAGGUGGAGGUAGCAGUUUUGCCUGAUGAAGUCUUCAGACUGGUCAAGAUCAGAUUUCUGAUAGAGGAUAUCAAUGACAAUGCUCCCCUUUUCCCCUCAACAGUCAUUAACAUCUCCAUCCCUGAGAACACAGCCAUUAAUUCCCGCUAUUCUGUCCCUUCUGCCAUCGAUCCUGACAUUGGAGUGAAUGGCAUUCAGCAUUAUGAACUUCUUAAGCCCAAAACAGCACCGAAAAGGACAUUUGGAUCCAUUACGAAUGAUCAGGGUCAAAAUGUAUUUGGACUUGAUAUAAUUGAAACACCUGAGGGAGACAAGUGGCCACAGUUGAUAGUCCAGCAGAUCCUGGACAGGGAGCAGAAAGACACAUAUGUGAUGAAGAUUAAAGUUGAAGAUGGUGGAACACCUCCCAGAUCCAGUACAGCCAUCCUACAAGUAACAGUUACUGAUGUGAAUGACAAUCGCCCAGUCUUUAAGGAAAAUGACAUUGAAGUUAGCAUUCCAGAAAAUGCUCCAGUGGGCACCUCAGUUUCUCAGCUCCAUGCCACUGAUGCUGAUCUGGGCUCAAAUGCACAGAUCAACUUCUUUUUCAGCAAUCAGAUUUCCAGUCUGGCCAAAAGGCUCUUUGCCUUAGAUAACACCACUGGCCUCAUCACAAUUAAGGAACCACUGGACAGGGAGGAGUCACCCGUACACAAGUUAACUGUUUUGGCAAGUGAUGGCAGCUCAAUUCCAUCAAGGGCAACAGUGACAGUAAAUAUCACCGAUAUUAACGAUAAUGUCCCAUCCAUAGACACAAGAUACAUCAUCAAUCCAGUGAAUGGGACUGUGCUCCUGUCUGAGAAAGCGCCACUCAAUACAAAAAUUGCCCUGAUUACAGUAAUGGACAAGGAUGCUGAUCUGAAUGGAAAAGUUACCUGCUUCACAGACCAUGAUGUCCCUUUUAGGUUAAAGCCAGUAUUUGAUAAUCAGUUUCUGUUGGAGACUGCCACAUUUCUAGACUAUGAGGCUACGCGAGAAUAUGCCAUUAAAAUAGUGGCCUCUGAUUCAGGGAAACCUCCCUUAAAUCAGUCUGCAAUGCUGCUGAUCAAAAUCAAAGAUGAGAAUGACAAUGCCCCAGUUUUCACACAACCUGUCAUAGGACUUUCCAUUCCUGAGAACAAUGCUCCUGGGACCCAGCUGACCAAGAUCAGUGCCACAGAUGCAGACAGUGGACGCAAUGCUGAGAUCAGCUAUAUGCUGGGUUCAGAUGCACCCCCCAUUUUCAACCUGGAUCGCCGCACAGGAGUUCUGACAGCAGUGAGAAAGCUGGACAGGGAAAAGCAGGACAGGUACUCCUUCACUGUACUGGCUAAGGAUAAUGGGAUGCCACCAUUGCAGACCAAUGCUACUGUGACACUAUCAGUUCUGGACCAGAAUGACAACAGCCCUGCUUUUACCCACAAUGAAUACAAUUUCUAUGUGCCAGAAAACCUCCCCAUGUAUGGCACAGUGGGGCUCAUCACAGUUACUGACGCUGACUCUGGAGAGAAUGCUGCAGUUACUCUCUCUAUAUUAAAUGGCAGAGAGAAUUUCAUUAUCGAUCCACUUACUGGUGUAAUAAGACCCAAUAUUACAUUUGAUAGAGAGCAACAAGGUUCUUAUACUUUCCAGGUGAAGGCUAUCGAUGGAGGAAGAGUGCAACGCUCUUCCACUGCCAAAGUGACCAUAAAUGUAGUUGAUGUGAAUGACAACAGGCCAGUUUUUGUCAUCCCUUCAUCCAACUACUCCUAUGAGUUGAUUCCCACAGCCACCAAUCCAGGAUCCGUGGUGACUAAAGUCUUUGCAGUUGACAAUGAUACAGGGAUGAAUGCAGAGCUCCGCUACAGCAUUAUAGGUGGGAAUUCGAGAAGUUUGUUUACAAUUGAUCAGUUAACAGGCAACAUUACUUUGAAAGAGAAGGUAAUCACAGCGGAUCAUGGCUUACACAGGCUGGUGAUAAAAGUCAAUGAUUUAGGACAGCCAGAGUCUCUCUAUACCAUAGCACUGGUGCAUUUAUUUGUGAAUGAGACCAUCACCAAUGGUUCAUAUGUGCAGGAGCUGGUGCGCAGAAAUAUGGAAACACCAGUGGGCCAGAAUGUUGGGGAUGGUGAGAUAACCCCACAGACCAAUGACUAUGUCAAAAUCAUCAUUGCUAUAAUUGCAGGCACCAUGACAGUCAUCCUGGUCAUUUUUGUCACUGCUCUGGUACGAUGCCGCCAGACACCCCGGCACAAGGUUGUCCAAAAAAGCAAGCAGAGUGGGGAAUGGGUCUCCCCAAACCAGGAGAACCGACAGAUCAAGAAGAAGAAGAAGAAAAAGAAGCGCUCUCCUAAAAGCCUCCUUCUCAACUUUGUGACAAUUGAAGAAUCUAAGCCUGAUGAUCCUGCCCAUGAGCAUAUAAAUGGCACUUUAGACAUUCCCGUAGAGCUAGAAGAACAGACUAUGGGAAAAUAUAACUGGGCCACCACACCAACCACAUUUAAGCCUGACAGCCCAGAUUUAGCAAAGCAUUACAAGUCUGCCUCUCCACAGCCCACCUUUCAAAUUAAACCCGAGACUCCUGUGCCCCCUAAGAAGCACCAUGUCAUUCAGGAACUGCCUCUGGAUAACACCUUUGUGGUGGGUUGUGACUCGCUCUCCAAGUGCUCCUCAAGCAGCUCGGACCCUUAUAGUGUCUCCGAAUGCAGUUGUCAAGGUGGCUUCAAGACACCAGGCCCCAUCCACACCAGACAGAAUUUUUGACAAUCACUGAUAGUGAUGGGCGGCCUACGGCAAUGUCUUGACCACUGGCUGGUGUUAUCUUGCUCUGAACGUCAUCGCAUCUGAUGUUAUGUACUGAAGUCGUACGUGUACACAAUGAUGUUAAGCCAGCAAACAUGAAAACAUGGAAAUAGCACGAGAAAGCCCUUUGUCCUGUCUCUGAUUGCCGAAGAAUUUUAUCGUCUGAUCUCCAGAGGGGUUUGGAAGUGGCGCUGAACUGUUCAAGCUGCCCUACUGAAAGGUAUCCAGGGCAAGAUUUUUUUUUUUUAAAGAAAGAAAGACAAAGAGACUUUAGUUCGUUGUGCUAUAGUGAUCUAUAAUGUUGUUUUGCAAAGAAAAAAAAACGUAAUUUGACCCAUCAGUCUGUGUGAAUGAUGGUUAUGAUAAGAUAAAUCUAUUGUUUUUCUUAUGUUGCUUGUAAACACAUUCUUGUUCCAGGACCUUUGUCAUUAUUUAUUUGUGUUGAAAAAAUUAGUUGUGUUUUUAAUGUCUAUAUAUAUUGAAAAAGGGAGCAAUAAAUUUUAUGCAUACAUUAAAAAAGAAAGAGAAUGUAAAGUUCUUUAUACUCCCUGCAUUUUUUAAAAUCAAGUACAUGUUAUCACUUUACUUGUAUCACCAUAAGCCAUGUUGUGAAUUAAUUAUUAUUUAUAGUUAUUUCCACAAGAUUUUUAAUACUGAUAUUGCUGCUAUGGAUCAUAACUACAAAUGAUCAAAUCAUUGCUGUUUAUUUUUAUGGGCUCAAUAGGAAUAGUGGGAAAAUAACUACUUCCUGCUUACUUAUUCACAAAACUACUAUAGUAAGCAUUCACCUUUUAAAUUACUGGCAAGUGUUCACUUAACUUUUUAACUAAACAUUAUUUUACCUUAUGCUUGCUGAAAUCUUGAUAACUUCUGUAUACUGGGUGCCAUAUUCUUAAUCUUUUCAAGUACUUUUAAAAAUAAAAUAAAAAGGUUUGCUCUUAGAGUGAUAAAGUAGAAAAUACCUUAAAUUUGAUUACACCUAAAAAUUAUUGCAUCUUUAGCCAGCACAAUGAAAAAAGUGCAGGCUUUUGUUGUUGUUCUUGUUUGGGGUUAUUUUACUAUUUUUGGUUAACAUUUAUUUUUCUAAAGUUAAAUUGCUUUACAUUAUAAUUUGUUGUUUAGCACAUCUGAUUUAGCAAAUAAAAUUUGCCUAAUGCCUUCAGUUGCCACUUGGUUAUUGGUUCCUGUAUAUCUAUUGUAUCAUAUUUUAGGCAAUAAUGCUUAAAAGGGUGUGUGCAUCAUUUAACAAUAUUAGUGUUUUAUAUAAAAUACAAAAAUUCUUAGGAAGCAGAAGGAGUAUAAAGAACCCUGUUUUCUGCACUUAUAUGAAGACUCAUAUGACAUUAGUUUACUAGAAUAAAAUGGGGUAUAGUCUUUGAUUUUUAACUCAGCUGUAUACAAUGUGUAAUUUUCUUUAAAUGGAAAAAUUUAUUAAUGAUUCAUCAGUUAGACUACCAAAUGGAAUUCUCACAUGCUACUGUAUGUUUGAUGUAAAAGUAUUUAAAACAGGCUUGUACGUAAAUGUUUCCAUUGCCUCAGUUCUCGGACUUCAGAAUGUCUACAAUGACGUUCCCUUCACAUUUGCUAUCUGGCUCUUUUUAAAAAAAAAUUGUUAUUUGGCUAUCUGGUCUGUAAAAUAUAAUAAAUUUUAUUAAUAAUGAAUUAUGUAUUGUAAUUUAGCAUAUUGUAUUGCAUAAGCAUAGAGAUGACUGUUGUAGAAGAAUAUUUCAUUUGUUAUAAUGAAAUCUUUUUCCUGGGAAGAAGAUGAUUUAUUUACAAGACAGUUUCACCAUUCGUAUUCAUACUCCCUUUGCUGUACUAAUUCUGCAGGUUAAAUGAGCAACAAGUUUCAACAGUAAUGGUAUUUAUUGAGUUUUCCUUCCGCACCACAAUUUAGCCAGUUCUUUUGGCUUGUUGCCUGCAUUUUACAAUGUAGAGAUAUGGAGGGAAGUCUUUAUAUUUAAUGUACUAUUAUGGAUGACAUUGAGUCUCAGUGAGAGAGUUUGGUCUAACAAAUGUUAUCAGCACCUUUUCCUAUAACUACUUUUUGCCUAAAUACCACAUAACGUGGGUUGUUAAUAAAAGGAAACACCCAAAGUCUUCUAUGGUUUGAAGAACUGGCUUCCGUACCCACUAGUGCAGUUCAGCAGGAACUCAGCCAGGUUUCAGAAUACUUUUUUGGAUGACUUCUGUGGGUACUGAGGCUGUAGACGAUCCAUAGAUAAAACUCAAAGGUGAAAUGUUCAGGUUUGAUUAGGAUAAGCACCCAAAAGUUAACUUCGAGUCUUGGAAAUAAUGAGUUGGAAAUAUUGUGAGAACAAGCUUUCUCAUUCAAUUCCUGGCACUUCCACUUUUGCUCCCAGUUGGAAAAUUUUCAAGAGCUACUUUUUUCCUGGUUAUGGUGCCAGUUAUAAAGUGUAAAUGGGAGGGAAAAACAUGAUUUUAUAACUUUAAAAAGGCUAGAUUUAGAGAUUUGGAGAAGGUUCAGCAGGAUUUUUUUUUUCUUCAAGCCAGUAACUCAUCUGUAGGUGGAAAAGUUAGGUUAGGAGAUAAAGCCCAGAUCCUCAGUGAAUGGUAUUUAGGCUCUUAACUCCCACUAAAGUUUGUGCCUAAGUCUCUCUUUAUGCCUACUUCAUUCCUCAGGUGAGUCAGGGCCAAAUCCAUCAAAACAGAUGAUGUAGCUAAUGCACAAGGAAAACAGAACUUUUAAAGAAUUUUGUUCAAGUCCUAUACCUGAUCACUUUUUUUUAAUGAGACAGUCCCUUCUGUUCUUCAUAGUUGUGCAUUUUAAUUUUUGUUUUCUUACAUCUAUGAAUUAGUUAAAAAACAAAAACAAAAAAACCCCUCCUUGGCAGACUGGCAGAAGACUUGUUCUGAGAGCUCUUUCCCCAUAAGUAGUAUCAUGGUACAUUCUCACUAAGGUCUCAUCUUCAUCGAUGGCCACUUUCUAAAUAUGUACAGUCAGUUUAGUUCUAUACUGACCUUAGAGAGGCGAAGGAUAAUUGGAGUGCAAAUCCAGAGAAAAAUAUUCUGCAGAUAAGUACUUUUUGAACUUUUAAUGAGGAUUUGUGUCCUGAAUCAGAGCUAGGCUUAUAUGAUUGCUGAGCCAAAAUCAGUGUGAUUCCUGUGUUACAUUCACCAAUAGAAGUGCUGCUUCCUGCUGAAUAGAGCCCAUAGUCAAUGAAGACAAAAGUUUUGAACAAGUGAAAAUAUAGUAAAUCAUACAAAUGCUGCUUUUUAAAUGGAAGACUAAACAUAUUUUCUUUUGCAAUAGCCAUCACAUACUUAUUUUAGUUUGAAACUUGGCUAUACUGAAACUUCAGAAUUUAGAUUUUAUUAUUAAUCACCAUAAUCUCAACAAACCUCAUGAAAUGUGUAUCUGUGUUCAGUGUAUAUGCCACUCCUGUUGCCAUUGCUGGGAGUUGUGUUUGUGUAUAGAAGGGAUACUAGAAAUAUCCUUUCAGCUGGUUCAGGAAACCAAUAACAGAGUAGGUAAGCUUUACUGAUUUUAGCCCUACAACACAAAUAGCCAAAGAUGGCCCUCAGAUAUUGUUCUUCUGCUUCCUCUGGCAUGUUAUCGAUGCCUGGAUUAUAUGUGAAUACAUGUCUACCAAAGUUUAGUACCAUUCAUAAUCUCAAACAGAUUUCUUGUUGUUUACCCUGAUUUCAAGUGAAUAACAAUAAAGAAAGGGAGGGAGAGGUAAUAUCUUUUAUUGGACCAACUUCUGUUGGUGAAAGAAAAGCUUUCAUGCUUAUACAGCUCUUCUUCGGGUCUUCACCUUUUUCAGGUUGUCAUCAUCUUCUGAAGAGCUCUGUGUAAGCACAAAAGCUUGACUUUUUCACCAACAGAAGUUAGUCCAAUAAAAUACAUUAUCUCACCCAACUUGUUUUCUAAUAUCCUGGGACCAAUACAGCUACAACAUCAGUGCAAAUAAGGGAAAGCUAAUAUUAGAGAUCACACAUGGCAUGUAAAAUGCAUCUUGUGUGACAGCUACUUGUAAGUUCUCUGUCAUAACAAAGAAGUUAUUCGGCUUGGAGGGAAUUGGUUGUAGUCCUGAAUUUCAUUAAGCGGAGGACUACUAAUGUAUAAUAGGUUAUUGUCAAAAACUAAGCUGGUAUGUGAUGUAAAAUAUUUUUUUUAACAUAGACUGUAAUGCAGGUCUCAUUUUCUUAUGCAUUUCAAUGUUUUCUGUUAUCA